rnacentral:tRNA from 1 species
CUCAGAAUAGUUUAAAUAGAAUACUAGCUUUGGGAGUUAGUGGUGAGAGUUGAAAUCUCCCUUCUUUGA